rnacentral:rRNA from 1 species
CCAGCAGCUGCGGUAAUUCCAGCUCCAAUAGCAUAUAUUCAUGUUGCUGCAGUUAAAAAGCUCGUCGUUGGAAUUUGGGUGUUGGUGAAAGGGAUUGAAGUGAUUUGAUUCCUUUUACUGAUGCCUUUUGUUCUGAGAGACUGAUUAAUCUUGAUUGAUUGAACAAAUCUUUUCAGAAGGAUUACUUUGAGGAAAGUAGAGUGUUCAAGGCAGGCUAAGCAAGCAUGAAUACGACAGCAUGGAAUAAUAGAGAGCAAGGAAGCAAGAGUCUUUAUUGGUUUUUACUUUUUUGGGAAUGAUUGAUAGGAACGGUUGGGGGCAUUCGUAUUCAGGAGCUAGAGGUGAAAUUC